rnacentral:rRNA from 1 species
CAUGCAAGUCGGACGGCAGCACAGAGAAGCUUGCUUCUUGGGUGGCGAGUGGCGAACGGGUGAGUAACAUAUCGGAACGUACCGAGCAGUGGGGGAUAACUAAUCGAAAGAUUAGCUAAUACCGCAUAUCUUCUGAGGAAGAAAGCAGGGGACCAUUUGGCCUUGCGCUGUUUGAGCGGCCGAUAUCUGAUUAGCUAGUUGGUGGGGUAAAGGCCUACCAAGGCGACGAUCAGUAGCGGGUCUGAGAGGAUGAUCCGCCACACUGGGACUGAGACACGGCCCAGACUCCUACGGGAGGCAGCAGUGGGGAAUUUUGGACAAUGGGCGCAAGCCUGAUCCAGCCAUGCCGCGUGUCUGAAGAAGGCCUUCGGGUUGUAAAGGACUUUUGUCAGGGAAGAAAAGGGCGGGGUUAAUACCCCUGUCUGAUGACGGUACCUGAAGAAUAAGCACCGGCUAACUACGUGCCAGCAGCCGCGGUAAUACGUAGGGUGCGAGCGUUAAUCGGAAUUACUGGGCGUAAAGCGGGCGCAGACGGUUACUUAAGCAGGAUGUGAAAUCCCCGGGCUCAACCUGGGAACUGCGUUCUGAACUGGGUGACUGGAGUGUGUCAGAGGGAGGUAGAAUUCCACGUGUAGCAGUGAAAUGCGUAGAGAUGUGGAGGAAUACCGAUGGCGAAGGCAGCCUCCUGGGAUAACACUGACGUUCAUGCCCGAAAGCGUGGGUAGCAAACAGGAUUAGAUACCCUGGUAGUCCACGCCCUAAACGAUGUCGAUUAGCUGUUGGGCAGCAUGACUGCUUAGUAGCGAAGCU